GGGAGGAAAAGAAACUAACAAGGAUUUUCUUAGUAGCGGCGAGCGAAAAGAAAAUAGUUCAGCACUAAGUCACUUUGUCUUUAUGGCAAAUGUGAGAUGCAGUGUAUGGAAUGUCAAAUUUCUAGUAUGAGAAAUUAACGAUUUAAGUCCUUCUUAAAUGAGGCCAUUUACCCAAAGAGGGUGCCAGGCCCGUAUAACGUUAAUGAUUACUAGAUGGCAUUUCCAAAGAGUCGUGUUGCUUGAUAGUGCAGCACUAAGUGGGUGGUAAACUCCAUCUAAAACUAAAUAUAACCAUGAGACCGAUAGUAAACAAGUACCGUGAGGGAAAGUUGAAAAGAACUCUGAAUAGAGAGUUAAAUAGUACGUGAAACUGCUUAGAGGUUAAGCCCGAUGAACCUGAAUAUCCGUUAUGGAAAAUUCAUCAUUAUGAUUUUAAUAUUAAUAAUAUUAUAAUAAUGGUGUGCAUUUUUUCUAUAAAGGACAUUGUAAUCUAUUAAUAUAUUAAAUAUUUAUCAUAAGAUCAUUAGCUUAAGUUUAUUCGAAUUAUUUUGCUUGCAAUUUAAUAGAGAAUAAAUGCUUUUGAUUUGAUAAAGUGUUGAUAGAUUUAUUUAUAUAUAGUGCUUAAAUAUUUUAUAUUUUAUAAUAGCAUAUUAAUCAUUGAUUUUUAUGUUUAUUAUAUGCACUUAUAUGAUUAACAAUGCGAAAGAUUCAGGAUACCUUCGGGACCCGUCUUGAAACACGGACCAAGGAGUCUAACAUAUUUGCAAGUUAUUGGGAAUAAAAACCUAAUAGCGAAAUUAACAUAACUUAUUAAUAUGGGAUUAGUUUUUAGUCUAUUUAUAGUCUAUUAAUUCAAUCCCGGGGCGUUCUAUACAGUUAUGUAUAAUAAUAUUUAUAUUAUUUAUACCUCUAACUAGAGCGUACCUUGAGCAUAUAUGCUGUGACCCGAAAGAUGGUGAACUAUACUUGAUCAGGUUGAAGUCAGGGGAAACCCUGAUGGAAGACCGAAACAG
rnacentral:rRNA from 1 species